ACUUGAGUAGUAUUAGAUAUGUUCUUAAAACUUAAAAAAUUUGGCGGUAUUUUAGUCUAUUCAGAGGAACCUGUUCUAUAAUCGAUAAUCCACGUUGGACCUUUCUUAGGUUUGUAAUCAGUUUAUAUACCGUCGUUAUUAGAAUAUUUUAAUAGGAAAAUAAUUUUCAAUAAGUUUUAUUAAACUUUAUAUCAGAUCAAGGUGUAGCUUAUAUCUAAGAAGAAAUGGGUUACAAUAAAAAUAUUUAUAUGGAUGUAAGUAUGAAAAUUUUACUGAAAGUGGAUUUGAUAGUAAAGUUAUAUAGAUUAAUAAUUUGAUUUUAGCUCUAAAAUAUGUACAUAUCGCCCGUCGCUCUUAUUAUUAAGAUAAGAUAAGUCGUAACAUAGUAGAUGUACCGGAAGGUGUAUCUAGAAUGACAAUUUAAAACUUAUUUAGUAAAGUAUUUCAUUUACAUUGAAAAGUUGUUGUGCAAAUCAAUAUAAAUUGAAUAGUAUUUAUUUAUUAAUUUUUAAUUUUUAUUAUAUAAAUUAUUAAAAAUAAUUAUAUAUUUAAUUGUUUUAGUAUUGUAUAAAGAAUAAAUAAUUUUAUUGAUAGUUAAUUAGUAUUGUGAGAGAAAAUUGAAAAAGUUGAAAAA
rnacentral:rRNA from 1 species